AUUGAACGCUGGCGGCAGGCCUAACACAUGCAAGUCGAACGAGUGGCGGACGGGUGAGUAAUGUCUGGGAAACUGCCUGAUGGAGGGGGAUAACUACUGGAAACGGUAGCUAAUCCCGCAUACCAUCGGAUGUGCCCAGAUGGGAUUAGCUCGUAGGUGGGUUAACGGCUCACCUAGGCGACGAUCCCUAGCUGGUCUGAGAGGAUGACCAGACACACUGGAACUGAGACACGGUCCAGAAUCCAACGGGAGGCAGCAGUGGGGAAUAUUGCACAAUGGGCGCAAGCCUGAUGCAGCCAUGCCGCGUGUAUGAAGAAGGCCUUCGGGUUGUAAAGUACUUUCAGCGGGGAGGCGUUACCAGCAGAAGAAGCACCGGCUAAAUCCGUGCCAGACGCCGCGGUAAUAC
rnacentral:rRNA from 1 species